CGCGGCCUAUCAGCUUGUUGGUGGGGUAACGGCCUACCAAGGCAUCGACGGGUAGCUGGUCUGAGAGGACGAUCAGCCACACUGGGACUGAGACACGGCCCAGACUCCUACGGGAGGCAGCAGCAGGGAGUCUUGCGCAAUGGGCGAAAGCCUGACGCAGCAACGCCACGUGGGGGAUGACGGCCUUCGGGUUGUAAACCCCUUUCAGGAGGGAAGAAAUUGACGGUACCUCCAGAAGAAGCCCCGGCCAACUACGUGCCAGCAGCCGCGGUAAUACGUAGGGGGCGAGCGUUGUCCGGAAUUAUUGGGCGUAAAGGGCUCGUAGGCGGCACAGCAAGUCGGCGGUGAAAUCCCGAGGCUCAACCUCGGAACUGCCGUCGAUACUGCUGUGGCUAGAGUCUGGUAGAGGAGAAUGGAAUUCCCGGUGUAGCGGUGAAAUGCGCAGAUAUCGGGAGGAAUACCAGUAGCGAAGGCGGUUCUCUGGGCCAGUACUGACGCUGAGGAGCGAAAGCGUGGGUAGCAAACAGGAUUAGAUACCCUGGUAGUCCACGCCGUAAACGUUGGGUACUAGGUGUGGCGUCCCGAUCAACGGGUGCCGUGCCGAAGCUAACGCAUUAAGUACCCCGCCUGGGGAGUACGG
rnacentral:rRNA from 1 species